CCCUCACUCCCUCCGUCCGGAAAUACUUGUCAUCAAAAUGAAUAAAAGGGGAUGUAUCUAGAUGUAUAUUAGUUCUAGAUACAUCUUUUUUAUCCAUUUUGAUGACAAGUAUUUUCGGACGGAGGGAGUACUUG
rnacentral:pre_miRNA from 1 species